UGGGGAAUAUUGGACAAUGGGGGCAACCCUGAUCCAGCGAUGCCGCGUGAGUGAAGAAGGCCUUCGGGUCGUAAAGCUCUUUAGGUUGGGAAGAAGGACAUGCGUUUAAUAGACGCGUGUCUUGACGGUACCGACAGAAUAAGCACCGGCAAACUCUGUGCCAGCAGCCGCGGUAAUACAGAGGGUGCGAGCGUUAAUCGGAAUUACUGGGUGUAAAGGGCGCGUAGGCGGCAAGAUGUGUGUGGUGUGAAAGCCCCGGGCUUAACCUGGGAAGUGCAUCGCAAACUAUCUGGCUAGAGUAUAUGAGAGGGUGGCGGAAUUUCCGGUGUAGCGGUGAAAUGCGUAGAGAUCGGAAGGAACGUCAAUGGCGAAGGCAGCCACCUGACAUAAUACUGACGCUGAGGCGCGAAAGCGUGGGGAGCGAACAG
rnacentral:rRNA from 1 species